rnacentral:tRNA from 2 species
GGUGCUAUAGUUCAGUUGGUUAGAAUGCUUGCCUGUCACGCAAGAGGUCACGAGUUCGAGUCUCGUUAGCACCGCCA